UACGGGGGGGGCAAGCGUUGUUCGGAAUUACUGGGCGUAAAGGGCUCGUAGGCGGCCAACUAAGUCGGACGUGAAAUCCCCAGGCUCAACCUGGGAACUGCGUCCGAUACUGGAUGGCUUGAAUCCGGGAGAGGGAUGCAGAAUUCCGGGUGUAGCGGUGGAAUGCGUAGAGAUCCGGAAGAACACCGGUGGCGAAGGCGGCUCACUGGACCGGAACUGACGCUGAGGCGCGAAAGCGUGGGGAGCAAACAGG
rnacentral:rRNA from 1 species